rfam:Candidatus Spechtbacteria bacterium RIFCSPLOWO2_01_FTLL_46_10 rifcsplowo2_01_scaffold_22958, whole genome shotgun sequence.
UUUUUUGAGAGUUUGAUCCUGGCUCAGGAUGAACGCUGGCGGCGUGGAUAAGGCAUGCAAGUCGCGCGAGCUGUACCUCACUGUGUUCGGUAUGGAAAUUCGAAUGUCGAAUAUCGAAAUCCGAAACAAUGACCAAAAUCCAAAUUACAAAAAUUCAAAACAGUUUAGUGUAGUGUUUCGAAUUUAUAAUUUUGAACAUUGGAAUUUGUUUCGAAUUUCGGAUUUUGAGUUUCGGGUUUUCGCACGGAGCGUAGCGAGGUGCGGCUAGCGGCAAACGGGUUAGUAACGCGUAGGUAGUUGCCCCAUACUCAGGGAUAGCCCGGAGAAAUCCGGAUUAAUACCUGAUAGUCCCGAAAGGGUAAAGAUUUAUCGGUAUGGGAGGCGCCUGCGUCCUAUCAGCUUGUUGGUGAGGUAACGGCCCACCAAGGCUAUGACGGGUAGGGGGUGUGAGAGCACGACCCCCAACACUGGGACUGAGAUACGGCCCAGACACCUACGGGUGGCUGCAGUCGAGAAUCUUCCACAAUGGGCGAAAGCCUGAUGGAGCGACGCCGCGUGCAGGAUGAAGGCCUUCGGGUUGUAAACUGCUUUUAUAGGGGAACAAGCUUCGGCUGAGUGUACCCUAAGAAUAAGGGGCUGCUAGUCGCGUGCCAGCAGCAGCGGUAAUACGCGAGCCCCGAGCGUUAUCCGGAAUUACUGGGCGUAAAGCGUCCGCAGGCGGUUUUGUUAGUCCUGUGUUAAAUAUACGGGCUCAACUCGUAUGCUGCGCAGGAAACGGCAAAACUAGAGGGCAUGAGAGGUGAGUGGAACUCACGGUGUAGGGGUGAAAUCCGUUGAUAUCGUGGGGAACACCAAAGGCGAAGGCAACUCACUAGCGUGACCCUGACGCUCAUGGACGAAAGCGUGGGUAGCGAAGGGGAUUAGAUACCCCCGUAGUCCACGCCGUAAAUUUUGAACACUAGCUGUCUGGAGUGUCGACCCUUCAGGUGGCGAAGCUAACGCGUUAAGUGUUCCGCCUGGGAAGUACGGCCGCAAGGCUAAAACUCAAAGGAAUAGACGGGGACUAGCACAAGCGGUGGAGCAUGUGGUUUAAUUCGAUGAUAAACGAAGAACCUCACCAGGGCUUGACAUCCCGACGAAACCCUGCCGAAAGGCGGGGCCCCUAUUAAGGCGGCGGGACAGGUGUUGCAUGGCUGUCGUCAGUUUGUGCCGUGAGGCGCUCUCUUAAGUGAGUUAACAAACGCAACCCCUACUGCCUGUUAUACGUGUCAGGCAGGACUGCCGCGCACAACGCGGAGGAAGGCGGGGACGACGCCAAGUCAGCAUGGCCCUUUGAUGCCCUGGGCGACACACGUGCUACAAUGGCCGGUACAAUGGGUCGCUAAGCCGUAAGGUGGAGCUAAUCCCAUCAAAACCGGUCUCAGUUCGGAUUGGGGUCUGCAACUCGACCCCAUGAAGCUGGAAUCGCUAGUAAUCGCGGGUCAGCCAUGCCGCGGUGAAUACGUUCUCUAGUCUUGUACUCACCGCCCAUCAAGUCAGCAGAGUCAGCAGUACCCGAAGUCUCUACGAUAUAGUAGGGCCCAAGGUAAGGCUGGUAAUGAGGAUUAAGUUGUAACAAGGCAUCCGUAGCGGAAGCUGUGGAUAGAUCUAAUUUUAA